rnacentral:lncRNA from 1 species
AUGAAUGCUAUCCAAAAAAGGGGUGCUUAUUUCCAUAGAAAUGGAUGUACUGGAGCAUCAGCAAAGGAGUGUGAAGGUGUUCUUCAGUCCAAGACUCUUCGUUUCAGUGAAGUGAAUCUGAAUCUGGCCCUGGAUCCAAAUGCUGAGUGGAAAAGUGGGAAGCAGGAUGACCUACAAGAUGUAAAGCAUGGCUGGGAAAAACCCUGUACUACCACUCUUAUACUUGGAAAAUGGCUUAUUUCAGGAUAUUGCCAGUUUCCUAUAGGUUUCUGCAAGCUGCUGGAGGUAAACUAGGUUGGGAUGCCUGUUUCUUUCCAGCUGUCCCGUCAUCUUCCCUUUUUGCUACUGAACCUUGUUUCUCCAUCAUGUGCCUGGAAAUGAAGCAAGGGAAGAAGUUUGGUUGGUUCUGCUUCCCCGAGGCACAGCAAAGGAGUGGUGGUGGGAGAGGGGCUUUGCUGUAGCGAGGGGAGGUGCAGGUACCACAGGUUGGAAGCACAAGGGCUGUGUUAAUUUGGCCAAGUCAGCCUUGGACAGCGGUGUCAAACUGCUUUGGCUUCCCCCUGCAGAGGCUCCAAGAGCAGCUGCAGCACCUCUGGGCGCAGUCACUGCACAACACAAAGGGUCUGAAAUAGGGUGUGAUGGGUGUAACUUUGCACGUCUGCUCCUGUUACUGCGCCUGUCUUCUGGGUGACGAGAACCUUGACACAGGAAUAGCAUAAAACAGCCUUCCACAGCAGCAAAGACAUGGCCAUUUGUCUGUCCCAGAGUUAAACCCACCACAGGAAAAUGUCCGAAUUGUCUGCAUCUGGCUUUUUUAGUAACAAGCUUCAUUAUAGGAGUGUCUGUCUCAUGUACAGCCGUUUAUGCAACAUUGUUUAUAAAGGAAGGGCCUGUGCACUUCAGGGAUACUAUGAAGAAGAAUACUAAUAUAUGGUCAUUGAGUAUUUUGUAUUGAAUAGUGUAUUUGUAUUGUAAACAAGUGUAGUGAACCACAAGGCAUGAAGACAAAUAAAAUGACAGUAGCUGGCUU